AAAGCUAGAAGGAUGAUAUAGAGAUGGUCCCUUUAAGAUAUGUGGUGUGGAAUUAUGGUGGAUCAUCAAGGAUAAGGGUUGGAAAUGCAAAAGCUAUGGUAUUUGUGAGGCUAGAAGCCCAUGGUCAUAUGGUGGUUAAAUGGUGGUGGUGUGGGUAAGAGAGGUUAGGCCAACUCUAAGAGGAAGGUGAUUAGAGGGACCUCAUGGGUUGCUCUAGUCUUGAUCUAGAUGAGUAGUAUGGCUAAAAAUAGGCAACAUAACAUUACUCAACAUCAAAGAUGAUUACAAGAGAGGAGACACUCAUAUAUCUAG
rnacentral:lncRNA from 1 species